GGUUUUGCGCAUGUCAGUAUUGUAGCCAGUGAGGUUUAUCUGAGGUGCAAUUAUUGUUACUUGAAAACUUUUCCCAAUGCCCUGCCACGAUGACUUGAAAUAUAGUCAGCAUUGGCAGCUUGUGACAGUCUCCACAGAGA
ensembl:snRNA U4 U4 spliceosomal RNA